AAUACAUAAUUCCUAUUAUACUUAACAGAACCCCCACAUUCAACCUAUCCCCAGAUAGCUUGGAUCUGAGCGCUCACUAUAUUCUCACACCGCUCAGACACCACAAACACAGUCCAAUCGCCAUGGGGUUAAACCAUAGCAACAAGUUCCAACUGGUCUGGCAGUGUCCCUGGGACAACGCCCUGCUGGAGAACAAUAGACAGGAAACGAG